rnacentral:rRNA from 1 species
UACGGAGGGUGCGGAGCGUUGUCCGGAAUCAUUGGGCGUAAAGGGCGCGUAGGUGGCCCGGUCAGUUCGUGGUGAAAGCGCGGGGCUCAACCCUGCGUCGGCCAUGAAUACUGCCGCGGCUGGAGCACUGUAGAGGCAGGCGGAAUUCCGGGUGUAGCGGUGGAAUGCGUAGAGAUCCGGAAGAACACCGGUGGCGAAGGCGGCCUGCUGGGCAGUUGCUGACACUGAGGCGCGACAGCGUGGGGAGCAACAGG